GGCUUAUCGCGAGAGGUGGAGGGAGGGCCCCGAUGAAACCCGGCAACCCCGCUAUUUAGCCGGAAGGUGCCAAGUGCCGCAGGAAACCUCCUGGAAGAUAAGUU
rnacentral:ncRNA from 19 species